AGCGAACGCUGGCGGCGUGCUUAACACAUGCAAGUCGAACGGAUCCGGGGGGCAACCCUCGGCUUAGUGGCGAACGGGUGAGUAACACGUGGGUAAUCUCCCCCCGAGUGAGGAAUAAGCCUGCGAAUGCGGGUCUAAUACCGCAUGACGUCCCGUGACGUAUGUCCUUGGACCAAAGCCGUAAGGAGCUGGGGGAUGAGUCUGCGUCCUAUUAGCUAGUUGGUAGGGUAACGGCCUACCAAGGCGAUGAUGGGUAGCCGGCCUGAGAGGGUGAACAGGCACACUGGAACUGAGACACGGUCCAGACUCCUACGGGAGGCAGCAGUGGGGAAUUUUGCGCAAUGGGCGAAAGCCUGACGCAGCGACGCCGCGUGGAGGAAGACGGCCUUCGGGUUGUAAACGCCUGUCAGAGGUGAAGAAUGCCCGCAAGGGCUUGACGGUAACCUCAGAGGAAGCCCCGGCUAACUACGUGCCAGCCGCCGCAGUAAAAC
rnacentral:rRNA from 1 species